AAAGGGAGACCUAAUUCGGGUAUAAGACGAAGAAAUAGUAGUCGAAACCAAGAAUCAAUCCCAAAAGGUCGGAACGAGGUAUGUGGCUUUCAAACUAGGUUCUGGGUUCAUAAAAGACCUGAAUCAGGAACAAGGGCUAUUAUCUCAGGUGGUUAGAGCGCACCCCUGAUAAGGGUGAGGUCCCUGGUUCGAGUCCAGGAUGGCCCACCUGCACAGGUGGCAAAAACAAGAGAAGCGAGGAAUCAGCACCUUAUCUUACUGACAUAGUAAGAGAGAAUGCUGGCUCUGAGUAAAGAGUCCAGAGGAACCUUGAAAACUGCAUAGAGCUAGGUGAAAAAGCCAAAAAAGAAGACCGCAAG
rnacentral:tRNA from 1 species